AGCACACCUGGCUAAUUUUUGUAUUCUUAGUAGAGACGGAGUUUCUCCAUGUUGGCCAGGCUGGUCUCGAAUUCCCGACCUCAAGUGAUCUGCCCGCCUCGGCCUCCCGAAGUGCUGCAAUUACAGGCGUGAGCCACCGCGCCCGGCCCAGAAACAUGUUUUGAAGGGCAGGCACCGCACAGGGUGCUGGAGACAGACUGAAGGAAACUGCACCUCUCAGUGACUCAAGAGAGAUUUGUUGAGUAUCUACCAAGUGCCUAGCGCUGUUCUUGUCCCUGGGGAUUCAGCCUCUGGAUUGGGACCUGCAGCCCAGAGAAGGGAAAUGGGGGAAAUCCAAGUUCCCAGGUACAUCAUGAUACCCUUCCAGGUGGCCUCUCCUUCCUGGAAAUUGCCAUCACCAGCGGCCAUAGCACCCCCAUGGGACCUGGGGGAUGGAGUUGGAAGCCCCCUCCGGCAACACUGGCCAGAUUGGAGAGACCAGCAGGGAAGCUCCCUCCUACCCCCAGGGAGGCUGAAGCCAGCUCUCCAUGGGCACGAAACCUGGAACCCAGGACCCUGGGGGGCAGGUGAGAUGACAGGGACUUGGGGUCUG
rnacentral:lncRNA from 10 species